ACGGAAGGCAGCAGUGGGGAAUAUUGCACAAUGGGCGAAAGCCUGAUGCAGCGACGCCGCGUGAGUGAAGAAGUAUCUCGGUAUGUAAAGCUCUAUCAGCAGGGAAGAAAAUGACGGUACCUGACUAAGAAGCCCCGGCUAACUACGUGCCAGCAGCCGCGGUAAUACGUAGGGGGCAAGCGUUAUCCGGAUUUACUGGGUGUAAAGGGAGCGUAGACGGUUUGGCAAGUCUGAAGUGAAAUGCGGGGGCUUAACUCCUGAACUGCUUUGGAAACUGUCGAACUAGAGUGCAGGAGAGGUAAGUGGAAUUCCUAGUGUAGCGGUGAAAUGCGUAGAUAUUAGGAGGAACACCAGUGGCGAAGGCGGCUUACUGGACUGUAACUGACGUUGAGGCUCGAAAGCGUGGGGAGCAAACAGGAUUAGAUACCCUGGUA
rnacentral:rRNA from 1 species